rnacentral:sRNA from 1 species
UUUUAUUUGCGUAAGGGAUAGGAGCGGCAUCCUUUUUUUGUAAUCCAGAGACUAGUCGAAGGAUUGCAAAAAAAGAUACAGCAUAUAGCCCGGCCUCCA